AUUCUGUUUAUCAGCAUUUAUGACCUCACACAAUGCAUUACCUAAUAAUUCAGUGACUCAGCCAGUACCUUGAUACUCAAAAAUAUAAGCUGGUGAGAUCAAAGGGUUAAUAAAUGAUUUACCUAUACACUAACUACUAGUUCGUAUGCAAUAUAUUUUGUCUGCAAUCUGUCACGGCAGUGUCCUUUUUCAGUCUUUUGAUGUUGAAUCUGUA
rnacentral:lncRNA from 1 species